UACAGAGGUCCCAAGCGUUGUUCGGAUUCACUGGGCGUAAAGGGCGCGUAGGCGGCUUUGCAAGUGACGGGUGAAAUCCCUCGGCUUAACCGAGGAACUGCCUGUCAAACUGCAUGGCUUGAGACCGGGAGAGGUGAGUGGAAUUCCCAGUGUAGCGGUGAAAUGCGUAGAUAUUGGGAGGAACACCAGUGGCGAAGGCGGCUCACUGGACCGGUACUGACGCUGAUGCGCGAAAGCGUGGGGAGCAAACAGG
rnacentral:rRNA from 1 species